ACCUGGCUAGCUCAGUCGGUAGAGCAUGAGAUUCUUCAUCUCAGGGUCGUGGGUUUGAGCCCCACGUUAGGCA
rfam:Danio rerio unplaced genomic contig CTG1235, GRCz11 reference primary assembly.